UGGCACUGUCUAGUGACUUGAUGACCUUUUCCUUGGCUUUCAUGUCUCAUUCCAGUGCCAGAUUAACCCCAGUUUGCAGAAGGGCUGGGCUUCUGAUCUGUAACCUCUCCCUUUCGAAGGCUGGGCACAAGU